GGUAUGGAUAUCUGGCCAGAUAUGCCUUGCCACUAAGAGAACACCCAGCACCUUCACCCUUUGGCACUCAGAAGUAGCUGCCGAGCAGCAGUGGAGGACUGCUGUGUCUGCUGGGGUUGGGGCAGGAUGCCCCAUGGAGGAUGUAAGGCAGGGGAAGAGACGAAGGACUAAGCACCUGAGGAGCCUCAGCUUCAGUAUGAUUAUUUGCAUGAUCCAUCAGGAUGCCAAGAUUCUGCCAGUGGAGAAGAGCUUUUCUUUGUGUCUUUUCUGCAUCUGAACAAGGGGCCUAGAAACGCAGUUAAAGAAAAGGAACCCUCCUGGAAGGACUCUGUUCCCCAGAAUAUCUCUGGCUGGAAGCACAAGACUGGCCUGUUGGCAAGGGGGGACCAGCGGAGGGUGCAGAGAGAAGGACAGCAGUGACCAUCACAUACCUGGUGUGGGGCCAAGACGGGGACCAAGAAAGGCAGCACCCUUGCACUGAACAUGGCAGCAAGGGGACACUGUGGAUACUUCCCCGGUGUAGCGUCUUCCUAAGGGAAAGCGUGGUCGAACUCAGGCUUGCCUCAUCUCUCCGAGGCCCUAAUCCUAUUAUCCUUCCUCCACCAGUCACCACCUCAUCCUUCCCUUCCCUACACCCUCACCCCCCUCCGGUUCUUUUUUCUGUAAAUAACUUUCUGAUUUUGGACAAGCAGGGAUCAACAGAUUCUGGAGGGGGGCGGAGAAGACACUUGUUUUGUUUUGUUUUCCUUUCUCUCUUGAAUUUUGG
rnacentral:lncRNA from 1 species